UAGCAGUUUGUAUAUGUAUUGCUAAAAUCCUAGUAGGAAUAGUAGAGGUGUUGCGGAACAUAGUUGGGAGAAAAUAUGCUGCAGAAUUGUUUUUACAUAGGGAAUACUAAGACAUGUCAGGAGAAGUGAGAGGCACAGUCACCAUCAAAUGCAGUGCAAUCUGCAGGCAGCAUGUUAUAGACCAGGAGGAGCUGAGCAGAUUAAUACCGUAUAUAGUUUUAUAGCUCUUUCGGACUUCAGUUGUACAUGGGGGAGGUGUUAUCAGUGAUUGAUAGCAUUCUCUGUGUAAGUGUAUUAUCAGAGAUAGCUGUCAGUCACUGGUGGCUGUACACUGGGGGGGGACGAAAGUUCAGAAAAAUCUGAGAUAUAAAUGUAUAAACUACAAGUGUUGCUGAAUCUUUUCCCACAAAACUAUAUAUCAAUCUGCUCAGCUCCUCCUGCUCUAUAACAGGCUGCCUCAGAGUGCAUUUCAUUUUGUGUAUGUCUAACCAAAUAGCUGAUAUUAGCCUCCAUCUAUUUCCCAAGCCACUAAAAGGCAUGGAAGUAACUUCUCCGGCAUGUAACAUCUGUACUUUGUUUCAGCAAAUGUAAUGAAUCGGUCUGUAGUAAUAUAAACUAGGUUAAAUCUGAUUCUUUACUGGAGCUAACAGCUUCCUUUGCACUUAAAGCCAUUAGCCACAGGAAAUGAGCGCUCGGACAUGGUGUGUUUAUUGAGGAAUCCAUAAACCCGUGAUGUCACUGACUUUUAAGCACUUUACACGAAUCCAAAGUGAAGAGAAGUGAGAACGGAGGCCCGGCCGAUACAUUGCAAUAUAAUAUAGAGCCAGCUCCUGGAAAGGUCCGCAUAAAUUGGAUUAAUGAUCAGAACUGAGCACAGAUAAAAUGACCACAAAUGUCUACAUUUACAGGAUUAAUUCCCCCCCCCCCCCCCCCCCCCCCCCCCCCCGUGGUGAACUCACCUAAUCAAUAUCAUUUUGUUAGGGCAGAAACAAAUGUCAGCCUCCCUCUUUAGGAAGUAUUACAUUUUUUGGAAAACCCAUUUAAAUUACACGUUUUAGAUGCUUUCCUCUUCUCAUUACUGCUCUUAUAUCUAAAAGCCGUCAUAGACGGGGAAUCUUCAGACUCUCCCCCCCAACAUCCGGUUUCAGAAAAACGAAAACGGAGCAUGCCGGAAUUUAACUGGCCAAAUCCAAUAGUUUUUUAGAUAAAUGGCACAGAUGUGGGCGACAACUGCUUAUCCCCAGUUAGAGCUAUCAUAUACUUGAGGGGUACGUCCACAUAGACACAUUCUCCACUGUGGAUUUUGUCGCAGAGUCAUAGAAUGUAUUUCUGCCUGGAUAUUUUUUCCCGUAGCGUCAGAAGAUUUGCUGCUGCUGUAAUAUGCCGUAUACUUUCAUCCUGCGAAUCCAGAUGGAAAAUCAUCGGCGUGUCCACCAUGUGUGAACAGCCCUUUUAUAGUAAAGUCGGGAAACAAUGGUUUCAGCAUCAGUUGGUGUGAUGUAUGUCUGGAUAUAUAGCUGUGCCGCCCAUGAAAGACUGGAUAUAGGGAGUCAACAAGGGGCAGAAGAACAGCCUGCGCUAGAAUGCAACAUUUAAAGGUGGUUGUCUCAUCUCGCCGAUACUUAGGCGAGAUGAGACACAGUUCUGACCACCUCCAGGCUGGGAAACAGCUGAGCGCUCCAAUGCAGAGCGCUCUGCUGUUUCCUGGCCUGGAGAUGGUCGGAACUGCGUCUCAUCUCGCCUUAGUAUCAGCGAGAUGAGACAACCCCUUUAAGGGUGUUUUGUUGGAGCAUUUUCUUUCCAGUCCAUUUGCCUGGACAGGAGAGCCUCUAACUACACAAUUUUUGGACCAUAGCAAAAUUUGAAACAUCCGAAGUCGAUUCGCAUACAGUAUCAGAAUGUAUUGGCUCCGAUGAGCUGAAGUUAUCGCUUCGCGAAGUCUCGUGAGACUUCGUGUAAUAACUUCAUAAAUUAAUUUGUACUGUAAAAAAACAUUUCCCGAACUCUGGUUCGGUUCCAAGGUACCACUUGGUACCUUCUAUCAGUUCCAUCUAAUUCCAUCUAUUUCAGCCACAUUAGGAGGGUAUUUUUAAAAACAACAGGAAACAGUCUCCGGGAAAUGCGUCUAUUCUGCUGCGUGUGCUUGUGUCUGUCACUACCAAUUUUGGGUAAUUUUUACUGAUUUGAAAAUGCUAGCUGGGAUCCAGGAUGGGCGGUGGAUCCCCAGUUUACUUUCUCUUGCAUUUUACUGCUGCAGAUGAAGGAAGCCCUAUGACACAACCGUAUCCAUUUUGCAGACCGCAAAUUGCGGCUCUGCAGGAUACGGAUGCGAUCCAUGUGCAUCUCGCAAUUUUCACGGGACCCACCAUAGAAAAGCAUAUUCUUCUCCACAAAAUGGACAAGAAUAGGACAGGUUCUAGAAGUUGUGGCCCAGCCACACGGAUGUGGACAGCACAGGGACAUCUGUGUGCUGUCUAUUUUAUUUUAUUUUUUUGUGGAACCAUAGAAAUGAAUACGUCAAAAAUGCGGAUUGUAUAUGGACCAAAAAUACGGUCGUGUGCAUGAGACCUUAGGGGAACUGACAUUAUACAUUAGGGCUAAUUUACUGAUCCUGGCUUAUACAUACAGUGACUGAUGCUGCAUGACACAUCUGGCGCAUAUUUAGAUGGUCUAGUCUAACUUCACACCAGCUAAUAGUUGGCUUACUUUACACCAGUAACUGACCACUCCCUUUUCUGCUAAGCCACACCCACUUGUAUC